rnacentral:rRNA from 1 species
CCUACGGGGGGCAGCAGUGGGGAAUAUUGCACAAUGGGGGAAACCCUGAUGCAGCGACGCCGCGUGAGUGAAGAAGUCAUUCGUGAUGUAAAGCUCUAUCAGCAGGGAAGAAAGUGACGGUAUCUGAGUAAGAAGCCCCGGCUAACUACGUGCCAGCAGCCGCGGUAAUACGUAGGGGGCACGCGUUAUCAGGAUUUACUGGGUGUAAAGGGAGCGUAGACGGCUGUGCAAGUCUGAAGUGAAAGCCCAGGGCUCAACCCUGGGACUGCUUUGGAAACUGUGGGGCUAGAGUGCUGGAGAGGUGAGUAGAAUUCCUAGUGUAGCGGUGAAAUGCGUAGAUAUUAGGAGGAACACCAGUGGCGAAGGCGGAUUACUGGACAGUAACUGACGUUGAGGCUCGAAAGCGUGGGGAGCAAACAGGAUUAGAUACCCUUGUAGUC